CAUGGAGUUUUGCUUGAGAGAGGUCUCCUAGGCUUUGGGUAGUUGCUUUAAGGUGUACCUAGGGACUAAAAAGGAAUCAGAAUCUCUUGAAGAUAUAUAAGUAACUUGAGCCACAAGUAAGCUGAUUGUUAAAGCUUCAAGAGGUGCCCAGAUUCUCGGUGAGUCCUCACUAGGCAGGGACACGACACGUGGCUGAGGCAGUUGACAGAUCGGAUUUUGAGUGGCUGUAGGCUACUACCUUUUUGGAGUGUUUGAUGUAUUUUAGUAUUUUCGCAUUUGAUGGAUCAUGAUAUUGAUCCUUUAUUUUGUAUAUGGCCUGUAUAUGUUUUGUACACGUCUGUCGCUUUGAUGCAUGUACAUUUGGGUAUUCAGGCACGUUAUGUGAUGAGGUAGUAUUCAGAUA